rnacentral:rRNA from 1 species
CCUGAGUACGACGGAGCACGUGAAAUUCCGUCGGAAUCUGGGAGGACCAUCUCCUAAGGCUAAAUACUCUCUAGUGACCGAUAGUGAACCAGUACCGUGAGGGAAAGGUGAAAAGUACCCCGGAAGGGGAGUGAAAGAGAACUUGAAACCGUGUGCUUACAAGUAGUCAGAGCCCGUUAAUGGGUGAUGGCGUGCCUUUUGUAGAAUGAACCGGCGAGUUACGAUCUGAUGCAAGGUUAAGCAGAAAAUGUGGAGCCGUAGCGAAAGCGAGUCUGAAUAGGGCGAAUGAGUAUUUGGUCGUAGACCCGAAACCAGGUGAUCUACCCUUGGUCAGGUUGAAGUUCAGGUAACACUGAAUGGAGGACCGAACCGACUUACGUUGAAAAGUGAGCGGAUGAACUGAGGGUAGCGGAGAAAUUCCAAUCGAACUUGGAGAUAGCUGGUUCUCUCCGAAAUAGCUUUAGGGCUAGCCUCAAGUGAUGAUUAUUGGAGGUAGAGCACUGUUUGGACGAGGGGCCCCUCUCGGGUUACCGAAUUCAGACAAACUCCGAAUGCCAAAUAAUUUAACUUGGGAGUCAGAAUGUGGGUGAUAAGGUCCAUAUUCGA